GUGCUUGUACCCGCCUCCUGUACCUGUCCGAAAUCUCUGCUCGCCGUGCCCAACGCGAUUUUCUUCCAAUCCUCCAGCGCUGGAUCCAGAUUGAUGCCGUCACCCGAGUUAUUUGCCUACCCGCCGAGCUCGCAUCACCUUCUCUCCCGGUCCUUUCCUUCUCCGCCGCGACUCCCUGUCCAUCUUGUGCUGCCUCUCCCCUCCCCGUUGCAGGGCCGCCCCCCCGCGAGGGGCCACGCACUCGGGGUCGUCUCCCUCGCCGCCCACCCCACGGGCGCUCGCGCUGCAGAAGUGUCGGUCGACAGCUUCGCCCACGUCUUCGACGUCGACUCGGGGCCUCGCCACGCUCGAGGCGGCGCCAUCUAAGGUCUGGGCCGUCCAGUUUCACCCCAAGGUGAGCACUGAGCACGGCUGCCCCGCCCCCGUUGUCAGGAAUCAGGAUUUUCAAGGCAAAAAAAUGGCUGCUUUCUUGCGAUUUUUGCUGCAAUAAUGUUAGAUGGUUCGAUGGGGAAUGAACCAAAUGUGUGAGAUUUUGGUGAGAUGUUAGAUGAUGCGCAGGCCUGUGGGGCUGGCUGCACACUGUGUCCCGCGGCGCCGCCAUGCCAGGGGGGCCAUCCAUCAGCCCUUCUCAUUUUUCUUGGCUCCAUCGUCCAUAUGCGCUGGUCAUGUCAGAUAGAUUGGCAGCGGUGGUGUUGAAGUCAUUGUAGUAUUUCAAAAAAAAAAAGAAGAAGAAGAAGAAGUCAUUGUGCUCCUCAACGGUGAGUCCCCACAAUAAUGACCUUAUCUGCAUCCCUCUGAAGCGAUGAACACAUUCCUUUGCGGAGUAAGAAGAGCUCCAUAGCAGGCAUUUGUUGUUCUCCUACGGGCACUGCAUACAUUCUGUUGGUCAAAAUUCUUCCAUGCGAAUAGUUAAUCAUUCAGUAUUUUAUUUUUUCUGGGCUUUAUUGGAGAUUACUUGACCGAUUGGUGGUGGACCUUUUGUUUAGACUAAUGAAGUGAAAGCUUUUCAAUUGCUGAUUGUCCUUGUGAUAGGCUGAUGGCUGUUAGCAACUAAGUAUUCCAGUUAUUGAUCCGGGGUUAAGAUUAUAUUUUAUCAAAAUCCAGCACCAAAUGUUGGAUAUAGUAAAUUCAGUAACAGAGAGUUGCAGAACAGAGAUCCAGUAGGAAACUCACUUUUUACAGAUUCUGUAUGAGAUUUUAAUCCUGCAGAUUUUCAGCAGUAUAACCUAAGGAUUAGUGAAAUAAUAGUGGUUAGACAUAUAGGAGCCAGUCUUUUUUUUUUGAGAUUCGCAUAUAGGAGCCUGUUGAUGGACACCUAUUACAACAAAUAUCCAUACCAUUUUGGCGUUACUGCUUUCUCAGCCAAUACAACUAACCUGAGUUAUAGUAUAGAUGAUUGUAGUAUAUUUGCUAUCAAAUGCAUAUAGUUAUGGGAUAUCAGCCUUGAUCUCGGGGCAAUAUAAUCUCAAGCUGGCAUUCCAAACAUCAGAUAUCUGCUUCUUAGCAAUCUGUCUUCCAUCAAUUCAAACGAAGUUGAGAAGAAGUUAGUGAUCAAUUCCAUUUUCUUUUUCUGAAGUUUAAGUUAUGACUUUCAACGAGAAGGUAUAUUAUGGUAACCUAAUAACCUAACAAAGCUUUUUUGUUUUUAGGAUUGAUGCAGUCGAGUUUUCGAUUUGGGAAGGAGGAGGCAGCACAUACCAAGGGCGACUUGACUUGCUGGUCUGCAACCAGUGCCUGAGUAGAAACACAGAAACAUCUACAUUGUCUAUUAUUGUUAUGCUAAUCUAAACGUUAGACCAAGUAUUAUCAAUAAAUAGAAAAUUUAGAAUUAGUAAAUGUUGUGUGUGCAUAUUUACUAUAAAUAUAAAAUUAUUUCUUAUAAAGUGUCAUUAAGGAUUAUUUCAAACACAUGCGUGUCGCAUGUGCAUUUUACUAGUUUUGAUAAAAUGAACUAGGAUGGCAUUGUGCGUAAUUAAUUUAGGAGGAGAAAUGAACUAGAAUGGCAUGUCAUUGUAAUUAUUUAAUUGACCCAUAAAACAUCAUUGACCACCCA